AACGAACGCUGGCGGCAUACCUAACACAUGCAAGUCGAACGAGACCUUCGGGUCUAGUGGCGCACGGGUGCGUAACGCGUGGGAACCUGCCCUUAGGUUCGGAAUAACUCCCCGAAAGGGGUGCUAAUACCGGAUAAUGUCUUCGGACCAAAGAUUUAUCGCCUUUGGAUGGGCCCGCGUUGGAUUAGCUAGUUGGUAGGGUAAAAGCCUACCAAGGCGACGAUCCAUAGCUGGUCUGAGAGGAUGAUCAGCCACACUGGGACUGAGACACGGCCCAGACUCCUACGGGAGGCAGCAGUGGGGAAUAUUGGACAAUGGGCGAAAGCCUGAUCCAGCAAUGCCGCGUGAGUGAUGAAGGCCUUAGGGUUGUAAAGCUCUUUUACCUGGGAUGAUAAUGACAGUACCGGGAGAAUAAGCUCCGGCUAACUCCGUG
rnacentral:rRNA from 1 species